CCAGACUCCUACGGGAGGCAGCAGUGGGGAAUAUUGCACAAUGGGGGGAACCCUGAUGCAGCGACGCCGCGUGGGUGAAGGAGUAUUUCGGUAUGUAAAGCCCUAUCAGCAGGGAAGAACAAUGACGGUACCUGACUAAGAAGCACCGGCUAACUACGUGCCAGCAGCCGCGGUAAUACGUAGGGGGCAAGCGUUAUCCGGAUUUACUGGGUGUAAAGGGAGCGUAGACGGUUAUGUAAGUCUGGAGUGAAAGCCCGGGGCCCAACCCCGGGACUGCUUUGGAAACUGUGUAACUGGAGUACAGGAGGGGCAGGCGGAAUUCCUGGUGUAGCGGUGAAAUGCGUAGAUACCAGGAGGAACACCGGCGGCGAAGGCGGCCUGCUGGACUGAAACUGACGUUGAGGCUCGAAAGCGUGGGGAGCAAACAGGAUUAGAUACCCCAGUA
rnacentral:rRNA from 1 species